GUCCCAGCAGCGGCAAUACGUAGAAGACUAGUGUUAUUCUGUUUAAUCGGUUUAAAGGGUACCUAGCGGUGAAUCAAGCUUUAGAAUAAAGAAGAAAAGGGACUAAUUCGCUAGAGUACUUACGAGGGGGCAUUAAAGUACUGCUGGUGUAGAGAUGAAAUUCUGUCAUACCUCUUUCGAAAGAAAAAUUACGGCACGGGUAUAGGCGAAGGCAUCCCCUUAUGUGAUAACUGACGUUGAGGGACGAAGGCUUUGUGUAACAAACAGGAUUAGAUACCCUAGUAGUUGAAGCAGAAAAUGAUGAAUGUCAUAGAUUAGACGUCUAAAUUUAUUCUAUAAAUGAAAGUGUAAGCAUUCCACCUCAUGAGUAAUUUGGCAACAUUGGAAUUGAAAUCAUUAGACCGUUUCUGAAACCAGUAGUGAAGUAUGUUGUUUAAUUUGAUAAUACGCAAAAAACCUUACCACAAUUUGAAUAUUUAUAUUGUUUAUUGUUAUCUUAUUAAUUUUCUUCCUUUUUUUACUCUAUUAGUAGAUGAAAAAAAGGAACUCAAAAACAACAGGAUAAGGUAAUAAAAUUAAUCAAGAGGCAAUAACAUAUAUCUACAAGCGUUCCACGGCGUCCUGGGAAAUGUGCGGGGGGCUAAAGCCCCCCCCCCCAAACCCAGGG
rnacentral:rRNA from 1 species